AUCAAAUCUGAGCUUGUUUUCUGAGAAGAGGAACUGGUAACCGUUUCUUGGUUUGCUUUUAGUAGAAUGAAAAAGAUACUUAUAGUUCACCAGUCUUCUUUGUUUCAACCUCAAAUAAACCAACAAGCAAGCAAACAAGCUGCAUACCCACAGAAUGCUCCCGAGUCUCUGGACAUCUUCCAACACUGUGUGAAUUGUUCUUCAAGUUCUUCACUCUUCACCAAGAAAAUGCAAAGGUUUGGAACCCACCCGCAGAGCUGGAUAUACUAGGAUUCCAUUGUAGCUCAGUAAGGAGUUCAACAAAAGAGCUGAGAACCAGAUGGAUCCCGAUAUUGCAAAGAGGAAAGGAACAUCUGAUAAAAGGUAAGAGGGUAGCGAGGCAGUUAGCAGCAGUGCAUGCACGGCUAACGGAAGUAGGUCCGGGUUGGGGUUGAUGAAAAUGUGUGGAGCUAACUGAUAUGUAGGACUUUUGGAGGAAGGGGACAACAACCCCAUAAGCAUUUCCAAGCAAUAUGAGUAGGGAAUGCAAGGUGUCAUUGUUUUACUGUAAUUCCAACCAAACCAUUGAACAGGUAGUAUGCAUAUGUGAGUGCACACACAUGUGUAUAUGUGUGUAUGUGCUUGCAAUUUACUUAUUAUAUCAACACAUGCGGCUGGGUCCUGUUCCAGAGUCCUUUAGGUCCCCUUCUUAGCUAUGUACCUUGUGCACAUCUCUGCUUUAAGCUGCUUCCAUUUCUUCCAUUCUACUUGUGGGUCAGGGCCCUCUUAGUCUUCCAGAGCCCGGGGCUCCCUUUCUCUUGAAGCCUUCUCUGACUUUCUGGUUUGAAGUUACUACCUUUUAAAUUUCUAUUUCUGAAAUCUGUCAUUCUUCCAUGUCCCCAACCACCCACUGUCUUGCCUCACAGCCUCACAAGUAGGUGGAUGUUCAGUGAACUUGUCCCGAGAAGCCACAGUCGGAAACAAAGGAACCACUUAAAACUUGCAGAUCCUGGAGGGGGAUUGGACAGCUUGGGCUUAGGCAGCCCUUACAGGCUUCAUGCCAUCCCUGUUACUGGGCCUAAUCUCAUACCUGUCUCAUGUGGGUAACCACAGAGAAUUUGGAAAAUGGUUUGCCUUGUCUGGAAGCCAGCUUUCUA
rnacentral:lncRNA from 1 species